CCUACGGGAGGCAGCAGUGGGGAAUAUUGGACAAUGGGGGGAACCCUGAUCCAGCCAUGCCGCGUGUGUGAAGAAGGCCCUCGGGUUGUAAAGCACUUUCAGUGAGGAAGAACGCCUGGUGGUUAAUACCCAUCAGGAAAGACAUCACUCACAGAAGAAGCACCGGCUAACUCCGUGCCAGCAGCCGCGGUAAUACGGAGGGUGCGAGCGUUAAUCGGAAUUACUGGGCGUAAAGCGCGCGUAGGUGGCUUGAUAAGCCGGUUGUGAAAGCCCCGGGCUCAACCUGGGAACGGCAUCCGGAACUGUCAAGCUAGAGUGCAGGAGAGGAAGGUAGAAUUCCCGGUGUAGCGGUGAAAUGCGUAGAGAUCGGGAGGAAUACCAGUGGCGAAGGCGGCCUUCUGGACUGACACUGACACUGAGGUGCGAAAGCGUGGGUAGCAAACAGGAUUAGAUACCCGGGUAGCC
rnacentral:rRNA from 1 species